CCACCUGGUGGGUUCCUUGGUUUUUUUAAGAACACGCCAAGCCUUUCACAAGCUGUGAGCAAUGGGACUUUAUCGCAACAAAUCAAGAAAGGAGAUGCCACCAAUGGUGGCGAGUGUGCAAGGACUGAAAAGCGCUUGCUGUGGACAAAAGAGGAAGAUCUUAGAUUCGUAAGCUUUUUUCCAUGUUGGUCUCCAUGUGUUACAUUACUAGGAAAAGAAUAAACCUCUUUUGGUAAUAUUGUAGGUUGGUGCUUGGUUGAAUAAUUCAAACAAUCCAAUCCAAUCAAAUUACAAGAAGAACGACCAAUACUGGAAUGAAGUUGCUGCUGUCUACAAUAGUACCACCCCCCAAAACAGGGAAAGGCUAGUCAAGCAAGUGAAGGAUCGCUUUGGGAGAAUUAAGAAAAGGGUUGCAUGGUUUUGUGGGAGUUACAAGGAAGCUAGUGCACUGUAUGCUAGUGGUGAAUCUGAUGCUGAUUUAAAGAAGAGGGCAAUGCAAACUUAUGAGGCAGAUCACCCAGAAGACGGUCCAUUUAUGUUUGAGCAUUGUUGGGUAGUUCUAAAAGAGCAACCAAAAUGGGAUGCAUAUUUGGAACGCCUGGAAUAUGUGGAGCCGGACAAGAGGAAGUUUAGUGUUGAUGAUGAAGUGGGGCAACGUUUCACUCUAGAUGAUGAUAAAGAGGAACAUCCACCGGGUGGCAAGACAGCUAAAGGAAACGAAAAACAAAGGACGAAGGUUGUAUAAUAGAUCUUGAAGAUGAGCUUAGCAAGUUUUUAGAUGCUCAGAAUGCAGCAAAUGAAGUCCGCAAAGAGAUGUUAGAGACACAAAGGCGUGUGUCCAGUGAGAAUCUUGAGGCUCGGAAACUUGCAUGCCUUGCAGCAAAAGAUCACAAGGAGUCGGUCAUGCUAGAAACAUACCGCUCCUUGAUGAUGCAAGACACAAGUAGGAUGUCCGAAGAUGUGAGAUCCGAGCACAUGUUGGCAUUGAAGUGUUUCAGGGAGAAGCUAUUUGGAAAAACUGACUAAGGACUAUGCCGUGUCGUGGUGACUGCUGCAUGUGCAACCUACUGUGGCUGAAGAUUGUUGAUGCAGAUGGAUUCGUUGCUCCAUUUACCAUCAAAACUAAUGGCUUAUUUGCAUUGUCUCUUGUUUGGUUAAUGUUUUCUUAAAAAGACGGGUUGUAAUGUUUAAGUGUCGAUGUCAUGGUGUUAUGCGCCAUCAGUUUAUUGAUCGUCGACGUCAAGAUUAAAACUAACGGCUUGUUUGCCGGGCGUCUUAUUUAGUUCUAUGUUUGGUUAAUGCUUCCU